rnacentral:rRNA from 1 species
UACAGAGGUCUCAAGCGUUGUUCGGAUUCAUUGGGCGUAAAGGGUGUGUAGGUGGCGCCGUAAGUCGGGUCGUGAAAUUUCGGGAGCUUAACUCCGAAACUGCAUUCGAUACUGCGGUGCGUUGAGGACUGGAGAGGAGACUGGAAUUUACGGUGUAGCGGUGAAAUGCGUAGAUAUCGUAAGGAAGACCAGUCGGCGGAAGGCGGGUCGUCUGGACAGUUCCAUGACGC